rnacentral:rRNA from 1 species
GUCUACAUCCAUACCACUCUGAAUCCAUCCCAUCUUGUCUGAUCUCAAAGGUAAGCAGGGUUGAGUCUGGUUAGUAUUUGGAUGGGAGACUUUAAAUACUUAGGCCAUGUUACA